CCCCUCUGUGAGAAACACCCAAGAAUUAUCAAUAAAAAAAUAAAUUAAAAAAAAAAAAAAAAGAAACCAUCCCACAAUCAAUCUGCCUCUUUGUGGACGCAGUUCUACAUGUGACCCUGUAGUUAGGGCAGACUUCCAGUGUAACAAUCUCAGAAGCCCAAGUGUGGAAAGGCGUGAUAAUAUCACAAUGAGGAGGAGGAGGAGGUCAUUGUAUCUUUCAAUAUAACUGUGUCCAUGACUUCCUGUCUCUGUACACACAUUUUUCCUUCCCCACCUUUAGUUAGAUCCUCUUAAUUGCUCUAGUGUGUUAUAUGCCAUCCAGGGAUUUGACCUCAUGUAGGGGUGGGAGCUGGUGAUGGCAGUCGCCUUCAUAUUUGGUGCUGGAACUUGAAGGUAUCCACAGAAAGGGUACCUGGAAAAUAAGAUGAAUAUGAAAUGGGGAGAGCAAGAAGGAGCUGAAAUGCAUCAGCUGGAGCCCGGGAGAACAGAUAGAAACUCAGACUCUUUCUUGUGUUCUCUCUGCCCUUGAUGGUCUGCAUGUCCUGGAGAAGCCAGGUCUUUCAUCACACACAGCUGGCCCAGCAGUCAGAGAAGCUGAAGGAGGAUUGGGGGGAAGGUGGAGCAGCAGGAGGCCUGGCUGUUCCUCACACCAAGGAGGUGCAUCCGCAGAUGAGGAGUGAAUGCCAAGGGCAUGUGAAUGCCUUGAAGUGGCUAUUUCUUGGAAGCAGAUAUUAUAAGGGAGUCACAUCUGGGAAGAGACAGUAGAUAAUGGAGCCAGAGAGCUGACUCACCACGUGGGAUGGCUGUGGGCAAGUUUCCCAGGUUGCACAAGCCACCGGGUUUUCUGAAACAGAUGGAAAGACCGCCUCUGCAGGCCGCUGGCUGACUUCAAGAUAGUCGUGCUGUAUCAAGUGGUGUGAGAAGGAAAGACCCAUAAGAGACUUUGUCAUCCAAGUUUCAGAUUCCCCUGGAUUCCUUAGCGAUAAGACAUGCAUGGCUCAUUACAUAUUCUAUUUAUGAAAUUUCUACGGGCAAAGACUCGAAUGCCCUUUAACUGGGUGCGCACAUGGGCAUCGCAUAGUUUUCCAGAGUAACCCAAGAUACUGGGGUGGAGAGAAAAAUGGAACCAGAAGACAAGCCAGCUUCUACCAAAGCCACCCAGCAGUCAGCCAGCCCAGACUCUCAAAUCUGGACCUGGGGGUCAGCCCUAGGUAGACAGGCAAGCCAUCUUUCAAAGGCUCCCAUGUCCUCUUAAUAAAGUGAGAGCCAGACAUUAGCAAUCAUUCUCACAAUUUUUAAAAACCAUAUUAUCAGCUGUUAUUUUAAAUAUCCCUAACCUAGUAUAGUUAAUAACAGAAACAGAAAACAUUUAAGAUUUUUAAGAUAUAAGAAUUGAAGAUCUUGAGUCAAGCUUUAAAAUGAAAGUAACUUUGAAAUGAGGUCAAAGUUAGAACAUUCAGCAAGGAAUCUUAAUUAGAAAAGUAUGACUGGGCAAUACUAGAACAAUUCUGAGCAAAUGAUUUUGCCACCAGGAAUGGUAAAUUCAAAGAAGGCAAAUUAGCAGUAAGUUGCAGAGAUGGCCACUUGAAUGAAACACAAACAGGGUUAAUUUUUUUCACUCGGUCAAUUGCAUUUCUCAUACAAAGCUGAAAAAUGCUCUCUUGUAAUUCUCAUUUUAUAAUAGCAAUUCUUUUGUUUUGCAUUGCCUGGCCAUUGCAAUCUGGACAAAGCAACUUUUCCAUCCUAUUUUAGUUCUCAAAGUAUAUUGAUUUUUAAUUUCCUGGAGCCAGUUUUCUACACAACAAUAUUUUAUUCACUAUGAGAAGUAGUGCCAGUUUUAAACAUUUAUAGACUUGUUUCUCCAGGGAAAAACAUAAGCUAGAAAGAAAAACUAAAAUUUCAUUUGAUGAGAUUCAAAUGGCAAUUGGGGGUUUGAAUGUAGAAGUGUUGUUUUCUUAUCCAGAACAGUCACUGGAACUGCAUUAAGGGAAUGCUAUCUGGUCAAUUUUUGUUUACUUUCUGGAGAUACGAUAUUUUCUGAGGAUUCAAAACAAGUGGGAAAUUGCCAAAGUCUUGCAAGCCUGAUUUAAGAGACAGAAAAGAAGAGACAACAUAUAAAGUUUUCUCUUCGUGCAUAUGAACACACAUAUAUCUUUAAGUUAAUACAUUAAUGGAUCAUAUUAUAACAUUUCUUUUCAAAAAUUUUCUUUUUGUUCUUUGCUCUUCUUCUUCUCUUUCCUUUCCCAAACUUUCUCUCUGCCUUCUGCACAGGUAACUCAUGAUAACAGUAUGUGGCCUAUAAUUUUCAGCUCACUCGCGCUUACCUGCAUGUAUGUGCACAGAUGUUAGAGAGUGCUUUUCUUCAUUUUUGUUAGAAAUGGGAUAAUAAAACAGACUUUUUUUUUCU
rnacentral:lncRNA from 1 species